ACAAACGCUGGCGGCGUGCAUAAAACAUGCAAGUCGAACGGACCAAAGCCGCAAGGCCGAGGUUAGUGGCGAACGGCUGAGUAACACGUAGGUGACCUGCCCCGAAGUGGGGGAUAACUCCUCGAAAGAGGCGCUAAUACCGCAUGUGACCACCGGUUCAAUCCGGUGCUCAAAGUCGCAAGACGCUUUGGGAGGGGCCUGCGGCCGAUUAGCUUGUUGGUGGGGUAAUGGCCUACCAAGGCAGCGAUCGGUAGCUGGUCUGAGAGGAUGACCAGGCAGACUGGGACUGAGGCACGGCCCAGACUCCUACGGGAGGCAGCAGUUAGGAAUUUUGCGCAAUGGGGGAAACCCUGACGCAGCCACGCCGCGUGCGAGAUGAAGGCCUUCGGGUCGUAAACCGCUUUUCCCAGGGAAGACCACCGACGGCACCUGGGGAAUAAGCAACGGCUAACUACGU
rnacentral:rRNA from 1 species